CGAAUAACGAGCUGCAGCAUUUGGAGUCGAGAAAGGGCGGGGGCGAAGAGGAGGAUUCACGUCUUUGUUAGAACCCUAACAAGGAAGACGAUCGCUCUUGAGGUUGAGAGCAGAGACACCGUCGACGAGGUCAGAUCUAAGAUCCAGAGAGGAGAAUUCAUGUAUACGUUGCGAUGGUCUUCUUGAACGGAAUUUGGAAUGCUAAUUAUGUCUUCAAGUCCAUUCAAGAAUUCAUCUUGAAGCAAUUAUAUAUUGUCGUUGUUGCAGCCAUUCAAGGAUAAAUUGGCCAUGAGAGGUUUCUUCCUCAGACAUUUCGAUAGAGUUUGAUUUGCUUUGAAAGAAGUGGCAAGGACAUUUUCAUCGGAUGUUCCUCGAAGAACUAAACGUCUGAGAUUUAGGAGAGGGGUAGCACAUAAUGGAAGUAGCAUGUAAUCUGACAUAGGAGUGCCUAAUUUGCUACAAUCUGCUCAUAUGGACCUCGCUGAUGCUAUGGACAAGGAAGGCAUUUCCUCAGAUUAACAGAGAUUGACUUUUGCCGGGAGCCAGCUGGAAUAUGGUUGAAACACUUGCGGAUUACAAUACUUAAAAAGGAGUCUACAUUUCAUCUGAUUCCGAGGCUUAGGUUUGGAAUGAUAACAAAGGCAAAGACUUUAACAGGAAAAGAGAUUGAAAAUGGGCAUUGAACCCACAUACACUGUUUGUAGGAUCGAUGAAUGGGUUGGGGUGAUAGGGAAUACCCAACUUUCUUUUACUUGAUCACCUGGGCUCAUUAGAUGGACCACGGACCAAUUGGUACCAUGUGGUUCUCAAGGACUGCUUGUUUACUAAGGCCAAGUGAAUCGUACUUACUGCUGGAAUUGUUCUAAAAGGGGAGAAAAUAGACAUGGUGAGUGAAAUAAUAUGCUCAUAGGUUUGUCGAGAAAUGCUACCUCGGUCUCACCAUGUUAAUUCUAGUUCUGGUUUGGCCGAGGGUUACUUUGUAAACACAAGAUAUUAGCAUGUGCAACUUAAACCAUUCGAUGUCUGAGUCGACAAUCAUUAGAAACAAUGUAUUAGCCAUUCAAUGUCUGAACACAAGAUAUUAGUAAUGUAUUUGCUACUCGUUUCCUACA